rnacentral:rRNA from 1 species
AAUGAACGCUAGCGGCAGGCUUAAUACAUGCAAGUCGAGGGGCAGCAGGACUGUAGCAAUACAGUUGCUGGCGACCGGCAAACGGGUGCGGAACACGUACGCAACCUUCCUUUAAGUGAGGGAUAGCCCAGGGAAACUUGGAUUAAUACCUCGUAAUAUUUGAGAGUGGCAUCACUUUCUAAUUAUAGCUCCGGCGCUUAAAGAUGGGCGUGCGACUGAUUAGGUAGUUGGCGGGGUAACGGCCCACCAAGCCUGCGAUCAGUAACUGGUGUGAGAGCACGACCAGUCACACGGGCACUGAGACACGGGCCCGACUCCUACGGGAGGCAGCAGUAAGGAAUAUUGGUCAAUGGACGCAAGUCUGAACCAGCCAUGCCGCGUGGAGGAUGAAGGUCCUCUGGAUUGUAAACUUCUUUUAUCUGGGAAGAAACCCAUAUUUUCUAGUGUGGUUGACGGUACCAGAUGAAUAAGCACCGGCUAACUCCGUGCCAGCAGCCGCCGUAACAC